rnacentral:lncRNA from 1 species
GCCCACUCGGCAACACCAAUUCCAUGAUCGAUAUGAUAAUGCACAGCGUCCGUGAACAAAUUAGAUUAUGAACCGCGAGAACGCAUGGGUUACAGAUUCUUCAAGGCUGUUGGGAAUCGAAGAUAAAGAUGGAAUAAAGAAGGAUAUAUCCAUGAACAGACGGAGAUCAGAAAGGUUUGUAUGCAGGCGAGACAGAUGAUAGAAGAAGA